GUUAAGUCGUAUGAACUUAAAAUUUAACCUUCAUGUUCACGUGUAACUAUUAAAACUGUGAUAAUUUUAUUGUUACUUUAGUCAGAAUUCAAAAACCUUAAGGUACACUUCAGUUACGAAAGCACAUUCGAAAUUUUGCGGACUAAAGCGUCGUCGUCAUGUCACUAAAGUGAUGGUCAGUCAUCAAUGGCAAGGGCACUGAACGUCUGUACGUCGUAAGAGGAAUAAUCAGGCAAGAUCAGUACAAAGAAGUAUCAUAAAAAAUCGAUUGAUUUCUCAGCUCAGAAGAUGGUUUUCAAAUUGGGAACUAUUCACCUUCAUGCAACAUGGAGUUUCCUAUCACACUGCUCAGUCUGUGAACAUUAUGCUAGACAGUUGGACACACCAUAUUAAUGUGGGUGUAUUAUCUGAUAUCUACUUUCUCUUAAUAGAGUAAAUGCAUACACCCACUUUGUUAUCUGUUGAAUAUUUCUCUAUCCUAACGCAGAAUGCUACAUCGUUCAUUUUUCUUUAAAACACAGGAAAUAAUACGAUAAUAAACGAUACAUACAAAAAACAACGCAACUUAUCGCGCUAUAACUGGUAUGUUUAGUCGCAUACAACUAUUAGUUGUACUAGAGCAAAUUUUCGAGAAACAUUGAUGAUGAAUUCUUAAGGAACCAAAUGUAGUGAGAAUGUGAAAAAGCUCUUAGUAAGUACUUUCAUAAUAGCAUUUAGUUGAUGUGCUAUCCUAGUGUCAUAUAUUUGUCUGAUUCUAAUUAUCUAUGGAAAAUAUUAUCAAUAGCUCCAGUACUCUACUUAGAUGGGCACUUUUCGCUUUGCUGGUUUAUGUAUUUACCCUUACACAAAGGUACACUUGUGUACCAAAACAGGUAAUUUCUAAAUAGGUAAACUCUAUUAAUCAAUCAAUUAAGACAAAAUAAAACUCCUAGGAGCUUUGGAAAAGGCCUAAAAUAGUACAUUCUAACUUCAAUAGUACUUGUAUUCAUUUGUAAUACAUACAUAUUGGUAAUUUGGCACACAAAAUGAACUUAAAGAAGCCUCAAAUGACAUUUAUUGACACUGGCAAGAGAGAAAGGGCAAUGUUUGCCAGUCAGUAUAGCAAUAUUUCUAGUUAUGAUACAAAUGUAGGUACAAUCGCAAGCAUUAUAAAAAAGCAAAAUCUGCAGAGUCUUAAAUACAGAAAACUUUGUAACUAAUACAAAAAGUUACUAGAUCUUCCGAGGUAUUAUAUAAACGAAGUUUCUCUGCGCGUCUAGUUAUAAUGAAAGAACUAAUCUAAGCCCUCCGUUUUUUGUUAGAUUUAUUGUUGUGCGUAUACCAUGUUAAGAAAUGAACAAAUCGAACCAAAACUGGUUCAAAUGAAAUGUAUUCAGAUUUCUUAGUGUAAAAUUCAGCUUGAUUAUUAUUUCUAUCUAUGUAUGUUUCAGCUUAUAACCGCACUAGUGUAGGACUCUUGUAAGGUAACUCAGUGUCUGAACUAAAACGGGGUAAUGAGAAAGUUUAAAAGAUGGAAACAUUUCGAAUUAAUGUGAGUGUGAGUGUUUUAGAUUAUUGAUAAAUACGCACUAUACUUAAACACAGCUAGUGAACAUUUUCUUAAAAUAUGUCGAUAAAGUUUACAAAAAAUAUAUGAUUCGGCUAACAAAAUGACAAAAAGGAUCAGACAAUUUAUUAGAUGGUAAACUAAUAUUUAAUAAUCUGUUUCUUAUUAAAAAUUGUUGCUUUGCAGGCCAAGUGAAGUCGUCGAUGGUUAUGCUGAUAACCAAUUGACGCUUUCGAGGCCAGUAUUAUUCGUGAUAUUCCUGAUGCAAUGCUCGAAAGACGUCCAGGAUGCGCUUCAUUAAGAACAGCGAUUGGCAUGUUCCUAAAAUUCUUUCCAUAUGUAAAUGGCAUCUACUCAUCUAUCGUUUUUUUAACAUAAGAAUCUAUUUUUUUUUGUGUUAUAUUUCAUUAUUUUUUAUUGGACUUAUCAAAAAUAAAUUAUGUUCGCAUAAUA